UGGGGAAUAUUGCACAAUGGGCGAAAGCCUGAUGCAGCAACGCCGCGUGAGUGAUGAAGGUCUUCGGAUUGUAAAGCUCUGUCUUUUGGGACGAUAAUGACGGUACCAAAGGAGGAAGCCACGGCUAACUACGUGCCAGCAGCCGCGGUAAUACGUAGGUGGCGAGCGUUGUCCGGAUUUACUGGGCGUAAAGGGUGCGUAGGCGGAUGUUUAAGUGAGAUGUGAAAUACCCGGGCUUAACUUGGGUGCUGCAUUUCAAACUGGAUAUCUAGAGUGCAGGAGAGGAGAAUGGAAUUCCUAGUGUAGCGGUGAAAUGCGUAGAGAUUAGGAAGAACACCAGUAGCGAAGGCGAUUCUCUGGACUGUAACUGACGCUGAGGCACGAAAGCGUGGGUAGCAAACAGGAUUAGAUACCCUGGUAGUCCACGCCGUAAACGAUGAGUACUAGGUGUAGGAGGUAUCGACCCCUUCUGUGCCGCAGUAAACACAUUAAGUACUCCGCCUGGGAAGUACGAUCGCAAGAUUAAAACUCUAAAGUGAAUUGACGGGGUC
rnacentral:rRNA from 1 species